AAUCAGACCAGGGGCGGCGCGAGCAGCGCU
rnacentral:sRNA from 1 species